GAUGAACGCUGGCGGCGUGCCUAAUACAUGCAAGUCGAGCGAACGGACGAGAAGCUUGCUUCUCUGAUGUUAGCGGCGGACGGGUGAGUAACACUUGGAUAACCUACCUAUAAGACUGGGAAAACUUCGGGAAACCGGAGCUAAUACCGGAUGAUAUUUUGAACCGCAUGGUUCAAAAGUGAAAGCCGGUCUUUCUGUCACUUAUAGCUGGAUCCGCGCUGCAUUAGCUAGUUGGUAAGGUAACGGCUUACCAAGGCAACGAUGCAUAGCCGACCUGAGAGGGUGAUCGGCCACACUGGAACUGAGACACGGUCCAGACUCCUACGGGAGGCAGCAGUAGGGAAUCUUCCGCAAUGGGCGAAAGCCUGACGGAGCAACGCCGCGUGAGUGAUGAAGGUCUUCGGAUCGUAAAACUCUGUUAUUAGGGAAGAACAUAUGUGUAAGUAACUGUGCACAUCUUGACGGUACCUAAUCAGAAAGCCACGGCUAACUACGUG
rnacentral:rRNA from 1 species